UCAGCAGUACUGACCAGAGCUGACAGGGUCCCUUUUUGACCGGGCGUUCUGGUUGAAAACUGGACACCUGGCAACCCUAAGUCUUCUGGGCUGAACUCUGGGUACCUCACGGUAGUUCUGCUUUGCUUCUCUUCAGCUGCUUGCCCCAAAGCCUGCAGAGCAGGGGUUGGGAGUUUGGAUGCAAGCUGCUGCGGUCUCCCUGCCGUUUGCACCUGCAUUGGCAGUGUAGCUUUGUCACGGUUAAUGCCAUUUGUUCAUGUGGGACAUCCUAACAGGUGUGUAAAUCCGAGCCACAUAAAUACAGGCAGUCCUCGGACUUACGACACAAUUGGUUCCUUACAAUUGCGUCAAGUCGUAAUGUCGUAACUCAGAACCGCAAUCUACUCCAUUGCGGGAUCGAGCAUCGUAAACUCGAAACCUAUAGUUGUAAGUCGAAUCAGGGUGUCAAUAUAGAAGCAUUGUAAGUGCAAUUCAUUGUAACUCAAACGUCAUAAAGUCGAGGACUGCGGCAUGAAACCAGCAAGCUCAGCCGCACGUUGUAUAGGACUAUGGUCACCAGAGCUCUCUGUUCAGCACCAUAGCCCAGAGCAAACAUCCUUACAGCACCUAGGACAUGUCCUGUCUAGGGGUUUGAUUAAGUGAAGCGACAGCUCUGAUUACACAUUUAUCAGACUGGGCAUGUCUGUCAAAUGUUAAUAUACAAAAAAACUUGGAUAGGUGUGCUGGGUAUUUUUGCAUGUGAACAUACUUUGUGUUGAAUAAAAGGUAACCAAAUAUCUAGCUCUCUGUCUUCUGUCUAUUUUGCAGGGUAUGUAUUUGGUGUGUGAAUUUUUCCACAACUACCACCCUUGGUUUUUGAGCCAUUCCUCUACAGUUGGACUGUUUUUUCUUUUUUGUCCAAUGAGACUAGCUAGCUAGCUAGCUAUAGCCAAGCAGCUGCAUGGAGCUGAGAGAUUUAAUUUUUUAUUUCCUUUUGCGUGACCAUUUCUUCCAGGAAGCUCCAGGAGAAUUAGCGAAAAAUCGUUUGGUAAUAAAUAUCCAACAAUUUGUGAUUCUUGGUUAUGGAUUACAUCCCAAUACUCUCUAAUGACUGGACGUUUUCAUCAUAUAUGCAUAAAAUCUCUCUCACUACAAUUUUUGUAUCACUUAUCCCCAUUCAAUGUAUUUAUAUAUUCUGUGCUUCGUGAUUUGGGUUAAGAUCUGGAUUAUUUGCUAUGGGUGUCAUGGCAAGGCAAAAUAACUUAUUUCUAGUUAUAUCCCAAAUCCAUAGAGUGGCCUUUGCAAAAGGAUGUGUGUAUGGUUUGGGCUGACUGGCUUGAUUAUACCAUAGAAUAUUUGGAACAGCUAGUCCACGCUGACUAAUGGGUCUGUGCUUACUCUAGGUCUUUUCUUAUUCCAUAUAAAUUCUGACAUCCUCUGUAUUUGUGCUAGGGUUUUGUCUGGGAUGAUCACAGAAGGAUUGAAACCAGAAAGCUGUCCUUGGCAAAACUUUCAUUUUGACUGUGACUGUUCUUCUUAAUCAAGAAAUGGCAUACUUUCUCCAGCACUCCAGAUUUUGUUUACAUUUGCUGAAGUAGUGGAUUGACAUUUAAAUCACAGAGCACUUAUGUGUUGUUUGAGAUUUGAAUUCCCAGGUAUCUUACAGGGUUUGCUGCUCAUUUGUGCCCAAUUUUUUUUCUGGAGGAGUGACUUUUCAGAGUCUGGUAAAUUUAUAGCUAGCAUUUCAGAUUUGGCAUAUUUUCCUUUAAAUCCAGAUGCUUUCCCAAAGUCUUGGAUUUCUUUAGAAACUAAUUUUAGGGAAAUAUUUAAUUUAGAUAAAUAUUACAUCAUCUGUAUAUAAAGCUGUUUUCUGAUGUGCUCCUGGAAGUUUUAGUCCUACGAUAGAUACAUUGUCCCUUAGCCUCUAAGCAAAAAGUUCUGGGGCCAGUGCAAAAAGUAGAGAGAGUACGAAUAUCCCUGCCUAGUCCCUCUGUGUAGUUCAAAUGGGAGAUUUAACUCCAUAACUUCAUACAGCUGCUUUUGUGUAAAGAGCAGUUAUCCUUUUAAGGGACUGGGGACCAAUGUCCAUAUAGGGCAGGAUUAGAAGUUUCACUAUAUUCUAUCAGAGACUUUCUCUGCAUCAAGUGAUAAAUUCAUCUUUUUUUGGUCUGGCAUUAUGGAUGAUUCCAAGUAUUCUCCAAAUAUUAUUGGACAUCUGUCUAUCCUUAAUGAAUCCAGUUUGAUCUGGAUUUAUAUAAGCUGAGAGCAUGGACUGCCAUUGGCUUGCUAGUUUUUUGCUAAAAUAUUUUUCAUGAUAAGGGCUGCAGGUUUGUCUUGGUGGGAAGCAAUGUCAUGGAUACUGUGUUUUUCCUGUUUGUCCAUUAUGUGUUUUUGUGUCCAUGAUUUUAAUAAACUCACCAUGCAGCAGCGGCUCCUGUCCUGUGGAGCUGGGCAUGGCUCCCCGCUCUGGGUGUUGCAACUUGGUGCACAUGGUCACAAUGCCACUUAGGUUUGGCCCAGCCACCUGCCAUCGUGAUGGGGAGGCAGCAGGGCAAAAUAUGAGUGAGUGGAGCUGUGACCCCAUGGGCCAGCCCUGCGGGACAGGAGCCACUGCUUCGGGGUGAGCAUGGGGCAGGCUCUCUUCAUCCCCCCUUCUCCAUCCCAAGCUCCCUUUAUUUGUCAUAGUAUUUUUUUAUUUUAAAAAAAAAUCACAAAAUUUUACUAAAUUUACUGUGACUGCUCUGUAAUUUUUGAUUAAAAAAUGCUGUGACAAAUCUGCAGCCCUAGUCAUGGUUCAACAAUGACAUGGGCCUGUGAGAGCUGCACAACAAGAUAAUGUCUUUUCCUACUUCAGGGAGAACAGCCACUGCAACUUCUUUCAUGAGUUGUAGAAAUACCUCUCCUAACCAAAUAGCAUUGAAGGUGCCUCUCAAGGGACCAUCUUAAAUACCUUGCAAAAUUCAGCUGGAAAGCCAUCAGGUCCUGGAGCUUUACCACUUUUCAUACUUGCUACAGUCUCUAAGAUUUCUUCUUCUAUUAUUUAUCAGUUUUGUUUAUCUUGGGCAUUUCUGCUACCUCCAGAUAUUUUUGGAUAACUUCAGAGCUUGGUGUAUCUGAGAGCCAGAGGUUUUUACAAUAAACAGCAAAAAUAAUAUGUAUUUCAUUAGGGUAAGAACACACCGUUUUUUGCAGUGGAGACACAACCUCAGUGGUAGCGGCUAUCUCAGUGAUGCUUCCCAGCAGGACCCCAUUUAAUAGUGCAAAGUAGGACUGAAAUAAUCAUCUUUUCUGCUUGAGCCCAGUGGAAAUUAUAGUUUCAGAGAUCUCUGUUUUAAAAGGUUUUGUUUAUGAUUUAUCACAGCACCCACCACAAGGGGGCCCAGCCUAGUCAUGGCCUCUUGGUACUACUCCACUACAAAUAAUGAUACUUUAACUGUUGGCUGCACAACAUCCAGCUGAAAUUUGACCUUUUAGGGUUUACUCUGGAAGGCAGCCAUAUGAUAUUAGAAGGGAAAUGUCAAUGGGAAAGAUAUAGAUUGAGGAUAAGCCACAGUACCCAGACCCUCUCCAGAAAUAACAUUAAAUACAUGAAAUCAAAAGGAAAAAUCAACUCAGUUGUAAACAAGUUGAGGUUGCCAGUGCCUGAAAUAAUUAGCCACCUCCCAGAUAGUGCUAACCAGCUCUACCUCUUUCAAGUAUAAUCCUGCUCAUCACCCAUAAAAUUGUCCAUGAUCUCCUGAGCAAUACUGUCCUACCCUGUCCAAUAAAACUGCUUUCCGUCUCAAGUUCCCCUAUCCAUGUCUUCUAAGUCUUUGUUUUCCCUUGCCUGCUGACCUACAACAGUCCUGUGGAGAGAUGGUUAAACUUUAAAACAAUUUUAAAGGUUCAGCUAAAUAUCCAAAAAUUUGAAUGCUUUUUUAAAAGUUUAACAGAAUCAAUUUAUAUAGAUCACCCUCCAUCUUGCAAUGGUGGAUUUAGACUAUAUUGGGUCAAGAUCACCAAAAGUGUAGCACUACUUCCUGACAUGAAAACCUUACAUUUCUUUCUCCCCCUCCCAUGACCUCCAUUUAUGUCAGCAGUGUGCUCAAAUGAGUUGAUUGAGUCAGAAUCACAUCACUAGUUAGUACUAUGGCAUCACCAUAAAUUGAGCAUCCCACUAGUAUUUAGGGAUUUAUGCUCACAACCACCCCUUGAGAUAAUGAAGUAUUAUUAUUCUCAUCUUUUACAGAUAGGGAACUGAAGCACAGAGAAUAAGUAACUUGCCUGUGGUCACACAGGAAGUCUGUGAUGGAACAAGGAACUGAAGCCAGAUCUCUUGUGUCCCAGGCCUGUGACUUACUCAUUGUCUAUGAUUCCUUGCCUCUGCUUGCUCCCAUUUUCUCAGGUCUUAUAACCUAAAGUGGUGUGAACCAGGGUGCAUUUCUUCCCUUGAUUUUGUCCCUGCAGAAAUCAGAUGUGUGCCAUUCUGUUUAUUAAUUUACUGUUGUAUCAGGGCCCAAUCCAUCUGUCAGGCCUGGAUCCUAAGGAUCCUCCCUCUAGCCCUCACCCUACUUCCAGAAGUUCAGGAUAAUCUUCCCUCUCUGUUACUUCACAUAUCCCUUCUUCCACCUGACACUCAAUCUAUUUCACUCUCCCUGCUACCAGAGCCAUUUCAAUUCCCACUGAUCACCUAGUCUGUUUCCAUGAUCCUUCUGCUGCUGUAACUCCUCUCUGCGUUUUAAUAUGGGGUUCAGCAGAUCCAACUGAUCCUCUCUUUAGCCCUUACCCUAUUUCUAGAUGCUCAAGUAAAUCUUCCGUCCACCUACCGCACAUAACUCUUCUACCAGUUGACAAGUUAGGUUUUGGUACAUUGCUCACUGCAAAUUUGCUGGUGCUCUAAAGCUUUCCCAUUACUUGGGUCCCACAGUACAUGACAUGUAUGUGUCUGACUGGAAUCUGAAGAGCAACAAAUCUUAGAUGUUUUCCUGCUGUUUGUCACAGGUGUGAACCGUGUGAUGUACAUACUAUGGCACAAACAAGAGAGAGAGCCACAGUGCUGUUGGUGAUUUGCCUUAAAAGAUGGACAGUCUAGCCUACUGGAAAACAGGACUGGCUGCCAUUUCAGUGGUGGCAGAGAGCUUUAGAAAAUGGGACUAUGUCAUUUGGAACAGAACAAAGUGUCAUGACAGCUCUGUCAGGGGACUGGUCAAGUACCAGAGUAACUAAAGGAGGCCACAGAAAUCCAGACAUCAUAAUGAUUACAGUAUGGUUUUAAGUGAAGAAAUACUAAUGUUAUUAUCUCUCAACAUUCAUAUACUUUGUUUUCCAAACUCAGAAAGCCUGUUAGCCCAUAUAUAACUUCCCUAGCUGAAAGUGCACCAAUGAGAAUGGAGAGUGGGUAUGCUUUUGCUGGUUUCCUGUUUUGUUUUUGCAAAACAAACAAGAAUGGAAAUGCACACACCAGUGACCUGCCUAACUUGUCUACAUCUCCAUGGAUUAUGUUUUUAUUUUUUUUUACACAUGAACUCUGUGCUCUGUUUUUGUGACUAUUUGUACCUGCCUUGCUGGAAACAGUGUUCUGAAACAAUGCAUAUUACAGGGUUAAAGGGUUAUGUUCCUUCUUCACUGAAGAUGACAAACGAUGAAGAAAACUGAAUUACAUUUUACUCCUAACUGCAUACAGAAGGAUCUACUUAAUGGCACCUUAAUAAAUGAUGCUCCCACUCAACUGAAGUGAUUCAGUACAAUGCAUUUCAAACACUGGAUAAACUGGAAGCCUUGUAUGACCUCUGAGCCCAUUCACAGUAUUAAGCAAAUGUGAAUAGGUUUGCUAAAUGAAUUUCCUUCUGCCCAGCUCUUUAAACUGUACAGUAAAUGUUUCUCCCCUGCUCUAUUGUGGCUGCUAAAUCAGCUAAUAUUUAUCUCAGUAUAUAUUUCAAGAGUUUGAUGAUUUGUCCCAUGCUUAUUUUUUAAAGCAAUUCAAGGAAUAUCUACCAGUACAAUGUGUGUUCCUGAGCUUUCUGCUUCCACUUGUGAGGCCACAACUGUACAAUAAAUAAAUGUGAAUGUAAAGAGAGAAAUUGGUCCCCUGCCUUUGAUAUCAUUUUCAGUAUAACAGCUGGAAGAUACUGAAUACCAAAUAUAAGGGCUAUUCAAAAGAUCCUCAGAAUUGGGGUACACAGAUGACUAAUAAUUUGGGAGGACAAACCAUUUAAGUGAUAUAUGGGCUGAUGUUGCAACGCAGCUGAAUCUUGUUGUAAAGUGCAUGGCAGAUGUAAACUGAGGCCCUUAAAAAGAUAUAGACCAUUGGGAGGGGCAUUGGACACAGCUUUGUAGCUGUUUCUCUCUUCCCCCAAUAUUGAGACCUCAAGAAGUUGUUCCAAUAAAACCCCCAGCAGGGCUAAUGCUAGCAUAGCUAACUGUUUGUGUAUGCUUUAUUAGAAUUAACGCUGCACUAAAGAAGAUGCUAAUAGGCAAUCCUCUGUCUUAAGCAUCUCCAUGCAGUUUCUAAUAGAGUUUUAUUCACUCUGUGGUUACUAAAGAUCACCUCUUAUUAGCAGACCAAGUUUUGCUGGUGCCUUGAGUGGCUGGCUGCUUAGGCAGAUUUUACUAUUUUUGUUGCUAGAAUACAUAGCUAGAAUGUAGGGCUUUUUGUUCCCCUGAUUUCCUUUUCAUUUUGAUUAAUUAAUUAAUAUACUCAAACCAGCCUUUUAUACACAAUGGUAGAAUAUCAUGUAACUUCAACCAUGUGAUGAAACCCAACCUUCCCAUCUCAGAACUUGAAAAUGCAUCAUAAAAAGCAGCGCCAAAAUCUUUGCUGACAUCCAGAUUAUGAAGCAUAUGCAAAAGCUUUGUAUUUUGCCCUUCAUAAACAGGUAAACUUAAUGAUCAAUUUAGCGAUGACUAUUUCACACAGCUCUAUUUAUAAUAUUUUAAAUUGUAAGCUCUCCAGAGCAGGGGUUGUUUCUCCAUGUGUUUGCACAGCAACUAGCACAAUGGAACCCACAACUAGGGCCUUCCAGUGCUACUGCAACGUAAAUAAAAUAACAGUAAAUAAUGCUGUGUGCUUAAUAGCUGCUGGUCGUGUUCCUACACAGUCAAUAUGGUACAAGCGUCUUACUUAUUAUGGCAAAAGUACUCUGUGGUACCUUCAGUUUUGUGAAAGUCUCUCUCUAUAAACCAAAUUUUAUAUUAGUCUUAGCCUGUGAGUUCUUUGGAGCAGGGACUGUCUCUUUAUGUGCUUGUACUGUGUCUAGAAAAAUGGGGCCUGAAUCUGAGUAGGGUCUCUGGGUGUUACUGUAAUAUACAUAAAAUAAUGAUAUUGCUUUCCGAGUAUGAAAAGGAUAACUGAACCACAUGGGUUGCAGAUGUAUGCUUGCCAUUCCAUUACUUAUCCUUAAAGGGGAGUGUUUUGUUUUUGCAAAGCUGCACUGCAGGUAUAGUUGAGAAGGGCCUGAUCCAAAGCCCACUGAAAUCAGUAGGAUCCUUUCCAUUCAAUUCUGUGGCCUUUGUACCGGGCUCUAAAUGAAAUAAGAGUGAUUUCUUUUCUUAUUAUUAGUAAUUGGCCGGUAGACCAAGUGUUAUAAACCACAUCUCUAUGAAAUGUUCAUUCUGUCUGGUUAAAAUAAAGAUACUGGAAUUUUCAAA